CAGUCGGGUAAAAGUUCCAGAAAUGUGAAGUACAAAGAUUUUUUUGAUCCAGUUGAAAGUGAUGAAGACAUAGCAAGUGAUCAUGAUGAUGAUCUGGGUUCAAACAAGUGGAUGAAAUUGCUGAAGAAGCAGCAGAAGAACUAAGCAUUUCUGAAAUGGAGGAAGAUGAUGACCUGGAAGAAAGUGAAGACAGUAAACAAUGUAAAGAAAGCUUGAAAAGAGUGACCUUCACUUUGCUGGAUGAUGAGGCAACUGAAGAUGCAGGUGUUUUAAAUGUAAAGAAAAAUUCUGAUGAAGUUAAAUCCUCUUGAAAAAAGACAGGAAAAGGUA
rnacentral:lncRNA from 1 species